AAGGAAUAUUGGACAAUGGACGAAAGUCUGAUCCAGCCAUGCCGCGUGAAGGAUUAAGGUCCUCUGGAUUGUAAACUUCUUUUAUAUGGGACGAAAAAAGGGCAUUCUUGUUCACUUGACGGUACCAUAUGAAUAAGCACCGGCUAACUCCGUGCCAGCAGCCGCGGUAAUACGGAGGGUGCAAGCGUUAUCCGGAUUCACUGGGUUUAAAGGGUGCGUAGGCGGGUAGAUAAGUCAGUGGUGAAAUCUCGGAGCUUAACUCCGAAACUGCCAUUGAUACUAUUUAUCUUGAAUAUUGUGGAGGUUUGCGGAAUAUGUCAUGUAGCGGUGAAAUGCUUAGAUAUGACAUAGAACACCUAUUGCGAAGGCAGCAGGCUACACAUAUAUUGACGCUGAGGCACGAAAGCGUGGGGAUCAAAC
rnacentral:rRNA from 1 species